GGUGGUUCUCGUGUGACGCACCCCAGAAUUGGGCUCCCUCCUUUGUGGUUCCGGGUGCGUCACCCGAGAACCCCA
rfam:Myotis davidii contig5942, whole genome shotgun sequence.